GAUGAAGAACGUAGCGAAAUGCGAUAAGUAAUGUGAAUUGAAGAAUUCAGUGAAUCAUCGAAUCUUUGAACGCACCUUGCACCCUUUGGCAUUCUGAAGGGUAUGCUCGUUUGAGUGUCAUUGUACUCUCACACUCCCGAUCUUUGCAUUGGGAGCAGUGGACUUGGGUUUGCUGCUUCACCGUCGCUUACCUCAAAUAGGUUAGUGCAACUCUUGGUUGGACAUAGUACGGCGUGAUAAGUGUUCUUCGCCGGUGCCUCGCAAAGAGGGUGGCCGAUCGGGAUGUUGUGCUCCAAACCGUCUUCGGACAAUCUCUGACGACUUGACCUCAAAUCGAGUAAGACUACCCGCUGAACUUAAGCAUAUCAAUAAGCGGAGGA
rnacentral:misc_RNA from 1 species